CGUUCAGGGGUAAACCUGCGAAACUCGAAUGAACGAACGGAGAGAUUCAUCGUCGCUCGGCGGCGUACGGGCGUGCACCUCGAUGUCGUGCUUGCGUUACUUAUGUGGCGUACUGUAUGACACGGGUCGCGUCUGUCGACGUUCGUCGAAGGCGUGCACUUCUCUCUUAGUAAUACAUCGCGACCCGUUCGAUGUCGGCAUAAGCGCUGUUCGGGAGUCCAAUUGUCGCGUUCGCGCGGCGGCUGGACCGUGACGGUUGCCUGCCGGCUGUCGGACGGUAGUACAAAAUCGUACAAUAUACGAAUCGCGCACGCGUCUUGAACGCGUCCGGCCCGACGCAAGCCUGCACCGUAUAAAGUCUCUGUCCUGCCACAGUGCGGACAGGGGCACGGCGCUGCUGUUGUCGCUGCCGUGUUGUCUCGGACUGUGCGCGUAUCCGUCUGCGAUGAUUCAUUUUCGGGCACUCGCAGGACCCGUCUUGAAACACGGACCAAGGAGUCUAGCAUGUGUGCGAGUCAUUGAGUUGUUUUUAAAACACAAAACUGAAAGGCGUAACGAAAGUGAAGGUGAACGCUUGCCGUUCGCUCAGGGAGGAUGGAGCGUCGGUUUAUAUCGAUCUCUCGCACUCCCGAGGCGUCUCGUUUCCAAUCUGUGAAUGCAGGCGCGCUCUGAGCACAGAUGCUGGGACCCGAAAGAUGGUGAACUAUGCCUGGUCAGGUCGAAGUCAGGGGAAACCCUGAUGGAGGACCGUAGCGAUUCUGACGUGCAAAUCGAUCGUCGGAACUGGGUAUAGGGGCGAAAGACUAAUCGAACCAUC
rnacentral:rRNA from 1 species